AUGAAUAUUAUACCUUAUUCCAUUAAAACACUCAAGGGGUUAUAUGAUAUAUCGGGUGUAGAAGUAGGCCAACACUUCUAUUGGCAAAUAGGAGGUUUCCAAACUCAUGCCCAAGUACUCAUCACUUCUUGGGUCGUAAUUACUAUCUUGCUAGGUUCAGUUGUCAUAGCUGUUCGGAAUCCACAAACCAUCCCGACCGACGGUCAGAAUUUUUUUGAAUAUGUCCUUGAGUUUAUUCGAGACUUGAGCAAAACUCAGAUUGGAGAAGAAUAUGGUCCCUGGGUUCCCUUUAUUGGAACUAUGUUCCUUUUUAUUUUUGUUUCGAAUUGGUCAGGUGCUCUUUUACCUUGGAAAAUUAUAGAGUUACCCCAUGGGGAAUUAGCAGCACCCACGAGAUAUAAAUACUACUGCUGCUUUAUCUUUACUCAUGUCAGCGGCAUAUUUUUAUGCUGGUCUUAG
rnacentral:rRNA from 1 species